GGACGGGUGGCGGAAUGGCAGACGCGUACGGCUUAGGACCGUAUGCCUGAAAGGGCUUGCGGGUUCAAGUCCCGCCCCGUCCA
rnacentral:tRNA from 1 species